GACAGAGGGUGCGAGCGUUAAUCGGAGUGACUGGGCGUAAAGGGUGCGUAGGUGGUUGUGUGAGUCAAAUGUGAAAGACACGAGCUCAACUUGUGGGAGUCAUUUGAAACUGCAUAGCUAGAGGACGUAAGAGGGGGGUAGAAUUUCCGGUGUAGCGGUGAAAUGCGUAGAUAUCGGAAGGAAUACCGGUGGCGAAGGCGACCCUCUGGGACGGACCUGACACUGAGGCACGAAAGCGUGGGGAGCAAACAGG
rnacentral:rRNA from 1 species